GAUGAACGCUGGCGGCGUGCCUAACACAUGCAAGUCGAGCGAUUCUCUUCGGAGAAGAGCGGCGGACGGGUGAGUAACGCGUGGGUAACCUGCCCUGUACACACGGAUAACAUACCGAAAGGUAUGCUAAUACGAGAUAAUAUACUUUUAUCGCAUGGUAGAAGUAUCAAAGCUCCGGCGGUACAGGAUGGACCCGCGUCUGAUUAGCUAGUUGGUAAGGUAACGGCUUACCAAGGCGACGAUCAGUAGCCGACCUGAGAGGGUGAUCGGCCACACUGGAACUGAGACACGGUCCAGACUCCUACGGGAGGCAGCAGUGGGGAAUAUUGCACAAUGGGCGAAAGCCUGAUGCAACAACGCCGCGUGAGCGAUGAAGGCCUUCGGGUCGUAAAGCUCUGUCCUCAAGGAAGAUAAUGACGGUACUUGAGGAGGAAGCCCCGGCUAACUAC
rnacentral:rRNA from 1 species